rfam:Dipodomys ordii contig_57684, whole genome shotgun sequence.
GGGAAUGUGGCUUAGUGGUAGAGUGCUUGCCUAGUAUGCAUGAAGACCUGGGUUCAAUUUCUCAGCACCA